GGUACUCUCCAACCCAGCUGCGCCAACCAUGUUCAAUGUUAAGUAAAGUGUUGACAAGCCAGCUCGGAAAUUAGAAACGAUUGAGGCACGCUCACACUAUCCGUAUACCAUCUUGGCAUAAUGGCUUGUAUAUUUUGAGUAUGCCAUGUAUAGCAUUAUAAUCAUUUUGUAUAUAUGGUCUUAUGAUAUGGUUAUUGAGUGGUAUGGAAAUAGAAAUGCUUGGUAAUGAUUAGCCAUUGGAAUGGCUAAUCAUGAUCAUAUUUGGUAUUAUGUAUGUCAAAUUGCUAGCUAAUCCAUGGAAACCAUGAAAUAGGUAAAAUUUACCAUAAAA